rnacentral:lncRNA from 1 species
CAGAGUUAUACAGCUUGUAACUGAAUGCUUUUCAUGAUCGGUAAACAUCAAUUGAUGAUGUCAUUUGAGGGUAACCUAUCCAUUUGACAUGUAGCUAGCUAGCUAAGGAAAUAGUGUCAUUUAGCUUGCUUCAUCAGAGAUUAGGCUUUUGGAAAGAGUUUGACAUCGGCAAAACCUCGUCCUGGUAAAGUUGUCAGUCAGACUACUGUCAUCACCACUAUAGAUGGCAAGCAAAUCAAACAAUACCUGGAUAAAGCCAUCUAGUUUAUCCCCUGAAAGUUAGCUUGUUAGCUAGCCAUAUUGACGUGAUCUGUUAUUAGCUAGCUAGCCAAUUUGACAUGAUCCAUCAAUCAAUGUAGCCUAUCAUGUCUGUCAGCCACAAUCAUGUUUGAACACUUAAAAACAAUGUUCCAUCAAUUCAUCACAUGUUUAUUUGUCACAUGUGCCGAAUACAGCAGGUGUAGACCUUACCGUGAAAUGGUAACUUACAAGCCCUUAACCAACAAUGCAGUUUCAAGAAAAAUAAGAGUUAAGAAAAUAUUUACUAAAUAAACUAAAGAGUCAAUGUGCGGGGGUACAGGUUAGUCGAGGUAAUUGAGGUAAUAUAUACAGGGGUACCGGUACAGAGUCAAUGUGCGGGGUUACAGGUUCGUCGAGGUAAUUGAGGUAAUAUAUACAGUGGGUACCGGUACAGAGUCAAUGUGCGGGGGUACAGGUUAGUCGAGGUAAUUGAGGAAUUAUAUACAGGGGGUACCGGUACAGAGUCAAUGUGCGGGGGUAUAGGUUAGUUGAGGUAAUUGAGGUAAUAUAUACAGGGGGUACCGGUAGAGAGUCAAUGUGCGGGGGUACAGGUUAGUCGAGGUAAUUGAGGUAAUAUAUACAGGGGGUACCGGUACAGAGUCAAUGUGCGGGGGUACAGGUUAGUCGAGGUAAUUGAGGUAAUAUAUACAGGGGGUACCGGUACAGAGUCAAUGUGCGGGGGUACAGGUUCGUCGAGGUAAUUGAGGUAAUAUAUACAGGGGGUACCGGUACAGAGUCAAUGUGCGGGGGUACAGGUUAGUCGAGGUAAUUGAGGUAAUAUAUACAGGGGGUACCGGUACAGAGUCAAUGUGCGGGGGUACAGGUUAGUCGAGGUAAUUGAGGUAAUAUAUACAGGGGGUACCGGUACAGAGUCAGAGUCAAUGUGCGGUGGUACAGGUUAGUCGAGGUAAUUGAGGUAAUAUAUACAGGGGUACCGGUACAGAGUCAAUGUGUGGGGGUACAGGUUAGUUGAGGUAAUUGAGGUAAUAUGUACACUACCAUUCAAAAGUUU